GUGGAUUAGAUACCCUGGUAGUCCACGCCCUAAACGAUGUCAACUGGUUGUCGGGGAAGCAAUUCCUUGGUAACGAAGCUAACGCGUGAAGUUGACCGCCUGGGGAGUACGGCCGCAAGGUUAAAACUCAAAGGAAUUGACGGGGACCCGCACAAGCGGUGGAUUAUGUGGAUUAAUUCGAUGCAACGCGAAAAACCUUACCUACCCUUGACAUGUACGGAACCUCGCAGAGAUGUGAGGGUGCCCGAAAGGGAACCGUAACACAGGUGCUGCACGGCCGUCGUCAGCU
rnacentral:rRNA from 1 species